UGGCAGUAGAAUGCCUCUGGAGAGUUUAGGGUCUGGCGCGGAGCUGGUCACUGCUUCAGCAGUGAGACCCCGAGUGGAGGCAGAAGUGGAGAGUGAGGAAACCUCAAGGACACUUAAGAAACCAGAAGACUGGAGCUCCCCACCCCAGAGGACAGAAGGACGAAUCAUCAGACUUGAGAGACUGCUGCCUUCCUCAUCUCUGAAAUGAUGGACUGGACCAGAGAUUUCAAAGGUUCCUGGCAACCAAAGAAAUUGAUGAAGGAGCUUGUGGUUUGAAAGGGGAGGGUGUUUUUUUUUUUUUUUUUUUUACCUGAUUUAGUUAGACAGUUGCCUUGCACCUCACUCCUCUGUGGAUAAAUACAUCUCCCAAUCUCACUGUCUUUAUUAGAUUCCAAGCCACUGACAAAUUCUGGUCUGAAUACAAUUCCUUUUUCACCUGGUCUGGGGCACCUGCACUGAGUUCCGCAGAUGUAAACCACCCCUGGAGGGGUUGGGGUGAGCAGGGGUGGCCACAGUUGCUAAGAGCUUUGGGAGGCAACUUGCGCCAGGUGGGAGGGGAAGCAUGAUGGAGGCUUGCUCUUUUCUCUGCUAGGUUUAAUCUUUCCCUGUGGGUUUGCUGACUGUAAUUAAAUGAGAGAGGUGUUUGUCAUCCUGGGUCCCUUUCAGCCAAGCUGAAUGCAACACAACUUUCUCAGGAAGCUUCUGACAAAACAGUGUUUGUGACUGGUGCCAGGACACAUACAAAGACGCCGGGCGUGUGCACUGGGAACUCAGGGCCACUCAGGGGCUGUGCCAGGCUUCGGCUGCCCUCGAGCCCAGGGCCAAGGCUGUUUGGAAACUAAGUGCUUCAAUUUCAAUGUCGUGAGAUUCAUGUGGUACAGAGUGGCUGCAAAGUGUCCCCGAGUUAAUGAGGGAGAAUGAAUGUCUGGCACGCUGGUGCAUUCUGCUUGAGACCAGGUUCCCACAGAGGCCUUUGGGGUACCAUGCACGUGUAUUAAAUCCGAGUCGGAAGUGGCCUGGGCUAGAGCCACCUACGGGGCCACAUUCCUCCUGCCUGCUAAUGGGGCUGUGUUUUCAUCAAUAAGAAAGUCCCAACCAUUCAACAUAUGCGUCUCACCUUCAUUGCCAUUCCUCCCCGCGCCCCACCCCCACCCUGUGGGAACUCAGAACAAUUAGAAAGGGAGGCAGAAGAGGCGCACUUGUCUUUGUUUCCUCUUGGAGAAACAGGUUUGAGUAUCGAGUGGACUGCGUGAGAGAAUGAGGCUGGGCGUUGCAUUUCGGUGCUUUGAGAACGUGGAGUUAUCUCUUGAGGAAGGACUGGGUGUGCAUUCUCACUGAAAACGCAGAGCAACCCCGGGGAGGCAGCUGCGCAUGCACACUGAAGUCUUUGGAUGCGGAGACUGAGUUCAUAGAGGUUUUGCCACUUCACGUGGUCACUCAGCAAGCAGAGCAGGCUCGAGAGACUCGGCAGUUCCCACAGUCCCACCUCACAGACUGCCAUUAUACUUCCUGUGACCUAAAAACUUUCCUCAAUACAUUUGCUUCUUCAUAAUUGGUGUGUGUUCAUGUGUGUGUGCAUACAUGCAUGGCCAUGUGAACACAUGUGCCUGGUCCUGUGGAGGCCAGAGGCUAAUGUCAAGCAUCUUUUCCAAUUAAUUUCCUUAUUGUAUGAGACAAGGUUUCUCACUGAACCUGGAGCUGCUGACUCAGUAGGGCUGGCUGGCCAGCAAAGUCACAAGGGUCCUGCUGUCUCCCUCUACCCCCGUCUCUUGGGUUAUAGAUGCGGGCUUGGCGUGGCUUUCAUACAGGCACAGGGGAUUGAACUCAGAUCCUCAUUCCAUGUAUGCCAAGCUCUUAACUGACUGGACAAUCCCCCCACACUCUCUUCAGUCUAGUUUUGAUCUUUACAAAUUUCACAGUCUAGGUGGAAUUGACUCGGAUCCUCUGGUUUUAUGGAUGGUGAAACAGAAGCUCGGAGAGUUAGCUUGACUUGGACAAAGUCACAUGUCCCCUCCCCAGGGACUGGGCCAGGGCUCUGUAUUUUUGUUCUUAGAAUAUGGUUCUUCCUUUUGUGUACCAGGAUGCUUUGCAGGGAGGCCUCUGCAUGGGAAAUGAGGACUCACUGGACAACUUAAAGAAGACAAUGAGAUUUCCUUAGAAAAUAUGACACGGCACCAAUGCUUUGUGUGUGUUUCAAUUCAAUGAUUCUUAAAGGGCCCCAUGGAAACCUCCAAACCACCCAGCCUAUUUCCAAGUUUACUGUUUCCUUUCUAUAACCUGAUGGUAUGGUCUAUUACUGAAGACAUCACCUAUGAAACUCAUGACCAUGGAAAAGUCGAGCUGGUGCCUACCUAAGCCUUUCUCCUGCUGACUGGUGUUCAUGAGACUGGAAGGGACUCUGCAGCCUACAGAGCGAGGUGAACACUAACCCAGCCAUGAACCCUUCCAUCUGCAAUGGUGACCUGCAAGAUCAUUAGUGUAAUAGUGGCACAAAGCUUGCAGGAGCAACCAGCACCUGACUGGAUUCAGGCCACUCCAUGAGACGGAACUCAUUCUUGAUAUUGCUUGACUGACCAAGAACCUGAGGCUGGAUAGGCCAGGGUCCUUAGGGGAAACCUAAAUAUCACUGUUCUGUUAAUGGAAUGCAGCAAUAAAAUGAUUUCUAACAACA